rnacentral:rRNA from 1 species
AUCCCAGCUCCAAUAGCGUAUAUUAAAGUUGUUGCAGUUAAAAAGCUCGUAGUUGGAUUUCGGAACCGGCCGAUUGGUCCGUCCUCUGGAUCGUGUACUGAUCGGUCUGUUCUUCUUCGCGAAGACCGCGUGUGCCCUUAACUGGGUGGGCGCGGGAUUCGCGACGUUUACUUUGAAAAAAUUAGAGUGUUCAAAGCAGGCAGUCGCUUGAAUAUCUCAGCAUGGAAUAAUAGAAUAGGACUUUGGUCUUAUUUUGUUGGUUUCCGAGACCGAAGUAAUGAUUAAUAGGGACAGUUGGGGGCAUUCGUAUUUCAUUGUCAGAGGUGAAAUUCUUGGAUUUAUGAAAGACGAACUUCUGCGAAAGCAUUUGCCAAGGAUGUUUUCAUUA